UACGUAGGGAGCAAGCGUUGUCCGGAAUCAUUGGGCGUAAAGCGCGCGUAGGUGGCCCAGUAAGUCCGUUCUGAAAGUCACAGGCUCAAACUGUGAAAGCGGAUGGAUACUGCUGGGCUAGAGUCCGGAAGAGGCGAGUGGAAUUCCUGGUGUAGCGGUGGAAUGCGCAGAUAUCAGGAGGAACACCAACGGCGAAGGCAGCUCGCUGGGACGGUACUGACACUAAGGCGCGAAAGCGUGGGGAGCGAACAGG
rnacentral:rRNA from 1 species